AUUGAACGCUGGCGGCAGGCUUAACACAUGCAAGUCGAGCGGGGAAAAGUAGCUUGCUACUUGACCUAGCGGCGGACGGGUGAGUAAUGCUUAGGAAUCUGCCUAUUAGUGGGGGACAACAUCUCGAAAGGGAUGCUAAUACCGCAUACGUCCUACGGGAGAAAGCAGGGGACCUUCGGGCCGUGCGCUAAUAGAUGAGCCUAAGUCGGAUUAGCUAGUUGGUGGGGUAAAGGCCUACCAAGGCGACGAUCUGUAGCGGGUCUGAGAGGAUGAUCCGCCACACUGGGACUGAAACACGGCCCAGACUCCUACGGGAGGCAGCAGUGGGGAAUAUUGGACAAUGGGGGGAACCCUGAUCCAGCCAUGCCGCGUGUGCGAAGAAGGCCUUUUGGUUGUAAAGCACUUUAAGCGAGGAGGAGGCUACCGAGAUUAAUACUCUUGGAUAGUGGACGUUACUCGCAGAAUAAGCACCGGCUAACUCUGUGCCAGCCGCCGCUGUAA
rnacentral:rRNA from 1 species